rnacentral:rRNA from 1 species
UACGGAGGGUGCAAGCGUUAUCCGGAUUUACUGGGCGUAAAGGGCGCGUAGGCGGCCAGCACAGGUCAGUUGGGAAAUCUCCGGGCUUAACUCGGAAAGGUCAACUGAUACUGUGCGGCUAGAGUGCAGAAGGGGCAACUGGAAUUCUCGGUGUAGCGGUGAAAUGCGUAGAUAUCGGGAGGAACACCAGCGGCGAAGGCGGGUUGCUGGGAUGACACUGACGCUGAUGCGCGAAAGCCAGGGGAGCGAACGGG